AACGAGGCCGACCUGCGGCUGAGUUACCUGCGGAGGGAUCAUUAACCUUUCAAAUCAGGGUGCGGCGCGGCCCCCGAGGAGCGGAAACAAUCCUUGGGAGGUAUGCGGGGGCUUCGAGCCCCCAUUUACGCACGCACGACUGCCAUCCUUACUUUACGAGCACCUUCUGUUCUCCCUCGGCGGGGCAACCUGCCGUUGGAACCGAAUAAACUCUUUUUGCAUCUAGCAUUACCUGUUCCG
rnacentral:misc_RNA from 1 species